UACAGAGGUCUCAAGCGUUGUUCGGAUUCAUUGGGCGUAAAGGGUGCGUAGGCGGCGAAGCAAGUCAGAUGUGAAAUCCCGGGGCUCAACCCCGGAACUGCAUUUGAUACUGCUUUGUUCGAGGACUGGAGAGGAGAUCGGAAUUCACGGUGUAGCAGUGAAAUGCGUAGAUAUCGUGAGGAAGGCCAGUGGCGAAGGCGGAUCUCUGGACAGUUCCUGACGCUGAGGCACGAAGGCCAGGGGAGCAAACGGG
rnacentral:rRNA from 1 species